rnacentral:lncRNA from 7 species
GUAUCCUGGCAGAUGAAGGAUUGCCAGAGACAAGCACUGAACAGCAGCAGAAAGCCGGUGACUAUUAACACACACUUCUUGACUUAUAUAUGCAACUGUCAGAUGGGACGAUUCAUCCACUUUGUUCAGAGCCAAAAUAUCCAGCUAUGGAGAGUGCGCCUGGGAAGCCUCUACAUUGGUGUGCAUUUCAAUAAUCUCAAAAACAUCUGCAGUACCCUUCUCCACAGACUCUUCUGACGCAGUUUGAAAAUGUUAUAUAGGUGGGAAAUUUCCGUAGCAGAAUGAAGUAUAAAUACUUAUAAACUCACAAUGAGGACGUGAGGCAAAGCGAUUCAAUCCUACAGUUGGCACUAAAACUUUGGUCCCCUGGAGCAAUUCUGUCAUCUUGACCUGAAUAUGGUUCUUCUAUAUACAUUCUGAAGAAUGGCAGUGUGUGACAGGCUUAUGUCGCUCAUGGGGCCUUUAGUUUAUGCAUUCCUGGCACAGCUCUUGCAGUAGCUCAAAACUCCUGGCAGGCUAAGAUACAGAAUGCUUCCAUUGUUUCUGUAUUCCAUCAGAGAUCUAUGUAGGCUGCAGGAAGUUUAAGGGCAGUCCACUGCAUGCAGGAAGAUGACAAAAGGAUGCAAGGUUAUGCAGAAGAGCCAAUUGCUACAUAGCAGGCUCCCAGGACUCAGAUAUGAAUACACAUGCUCUUCUGUCCUUAAAUUACAUCUGUACUAACCUGAUAUAGUCUCCAGGCCUCCCUUUUCUGGGCAACAUGGUAGAAUUCUUGGGCCAGAGGAAUCUCCGUCAACUGUUUAUCUUUCUGAGCAAUUAUUUGCUACUUGAGAAAAAAAAAAGAAGUUACUAGUUUAAAUAAAAAAUAAAAAUACAGAUUAAAAAAAUUGUACUAGUUAGUUUGUAUUGUCAACUUGACACAAUCUAGAGUUACCUGGGAAGAGGAAAUCUGAACUACUGAGGAAUUGUCCACAAGAGAUUGUCUUGACUGAUGAUUAAUGUGGGAGGAUUAAGCCCACUGUGGGCAGCACCAUUCCUAGGCAGGAGGAUCGGGCUGUAAAAGAAAUCUAGCUUAGUAUGAGCCAGUGAGUGAGACAGCAAGCAACACUCCUCCAUGGUUUUGGUUCAAUUCCCUGUCCUGACUCUCCUCAACAUAGGACUACGAACUGGAAGUACAGAUGAAAUAAAUCCUCUCUUCCCCUAAAUUGCUUUCGGUUGAGUGUUUUAUCAUAGCAACAGAAAAGCAAACUAGAAUAAGAAUGAUAUCAAAUACAUUAGUCUGAGGGAGAAAGAAGAAGAAGAAGAGGAAGAGGAAGAGGGAGGAAGAGGGAGGAAGAGGAAGAGAGAGAAAGAAGAAGAAGAAGAAGAAGAAGAAG